CAAGAGUCCACAUCGACGGGGAGGUUUGGCACCUCGAUGUCGGCUCAUCGCAUCCUGGGGCUGUAGUCGGUCCCAAGGGUUGGGCUGUUCGCCCAUUAAAGCGGUACGCGAGCUGGGUUCAGAACGUCGUGAGACAGUUCGGUCCCUAUCCGUCGUGGGCGUAGGAAAUUUGAGGGGAGCUGUCCUUAGUACGAGAGGACCGGGAUGGACACACCGCUGGUGUACCAGUUGUCUUGCCAAAGGCAUCGCUGGGUAGCUAUGUGUGGACGGGAUAAGUGCUGAAAGCAUCUAAGCAUGAAGC
rnacentral:rRNA from 1 species